rnacentral:rRNA from 1 species
CAGCAGCCGCGGGAAUACAGAGGGUGCGAGCGUUAAUCGGAUUUACUGGGCGUAAAGCGUGCGUAGGCGGCUUCUUAAGUCGGAUGUGAAAUCCCUGAGCUUAACUUAGGAAUUGCAUUCGAUACUGGGAAGCUAGAGUAUGGGAGAGGAUGGUAGAAUUCCAGGUGUAGCGGUGAAAUGCGUAGAGAUCUGGAGGAAUACCGAUGGCGAAGGCAGCCCCCUGGGCCAAUACUGACGCUCAUGCACGAAAGCGUGGGGAGCAAACAGGAUUAGAUACCCCUGUAGUCCCUGUCUCUUAUAC